AUUGAACGCUGGCGGCAGGCCUAACACAUGCGAGUCGAGCGGAGCGGCGGACGGGUGAGUAAUGCAUAGGAAUAUGCCUGGUAGUGGGGGAUAACGUCCGGAAACGGGCGCUAAUACCGCAUACUAUCAGAUGAGCCUAGGUCGGAUUAGCUAGUUGGUGGGGUAAAGGCCUACCAAGGCGACGAACCGUAACUGGUCUGAGAGGAUGAUCAGUCACCCUGGAACGGAGACACGGUCCAGAUUCCUACGUGAGGCAGCAGGGGCGAAUAUUGCACAAUGGGCGCAAGCCUGAUGCAGCCAUGCCGCGUGUAUGAAGAAGGCCUUCGGGUUGUAAAGUACUUUAAGUUGGGAGGCGUUACCAACAGAAUAAGCACCGGCUAACUCCGUGCCAGCCGCCGCGGUAAUAC
rnacentral:rRNA from 1 species